CUUCACUGGAAACAUACGCCACCACAGGAAGACCCCAGGGGCUGGGCAGCUUCCCCCUCCUUCCAACUUCUCUGCUCUAGACAAAAGGAGAGGCACCCUGCCUUGACACCUGUCAACACAUUAGGUGUCAAAUAAGCUGGCUUUCAACCUGGACCUGCAGGUGGUUUGUUGGUUUGUGCUUCACUCUGAGCCCCAGAAGAAUCUGAAGAGGCGAGGGAGGAUUGAAGGAUUGAAGUGGCCCUCCAGCUCAGUACAGAUCCCAGCUCAUCUCUCUCCCACACGGAGCCCAAGUCCCAGCCCCGGUCCAUCUGCACCAGCAGGCACCUCAGCUGGGAGUGCUGCGAGCCCCAGCCUCCUUCUGUUCAGACGGUGGUUGGGAGAUGUGAGCCAAUCCAGCCAUCUUGUACUGCGGAUCCAGGGCUGAGUGAACGCCUGCCAUCUGUAGUGGCGGCCAGCGAUGAGCCUUUAGCCAGCCUACACUGCGUCAGCAGCAGCCCUGUGCUCCAUCUUGAGGGAAAAGCAGAAGAGAGUGAUGUUUACCUAUUCACACCUCUGAUGAGAGCCGGAGAAUUGAAUUUGUGCUGAGAGUGGAAUAAUUGAUUUGGACGGCUGCCAUGAUGGAAACAUCUGGGUUCACCAACUAACCUUGUCAUGAAAUAAGUGAAGACACUGAAAGGCUGUCAAUUACAUGUGAAUUACCCUGUAAAUAAAUCUAAUAUCUACAAAUUAGCAAGAGAUGAUUGUAGUAUGUUUAUUAUGUUGA